rnacentral:lncRNA from 1 species
GAAACUGGUUUUGAGCCUCUGAAAUCAAAUGUCAUCUGGUUUAUUGGAUGUUUCUGUCAUGCCACAUGAUUUUGUUGCGCUACAGUGCUGGAAGGAGAGUCUUCCACCUCGAUAAACUCGAACACAAGUAGUUUGCCUGAGGGAUCCCGUGGUGAGUCACUGGUACAGGUCUCCCUGCCCAGGACCCUUUUGGCUACUAAGGAUGUUGCUUCAGUCUUGUUGGGAUCACCCAGGACACGAAGAACACUCAUGAAUACUUGUUGA